GCGACGGUCGCGGGCCGAUAUCUUGGUUUGUGUGGCAGGUCGACUUGGAAAAAGACAGACCGUUGUCACGCCAGACCUACUUCGCGACAGUAACGGAAGUUUCGUGACCAAUCAAUCCUUCGAUUCUUGUUCAAGAGGUCAAGAAUUGAAGAAUAAAUUCAUUAUCGUUAUCGUCCGAUAAUUAAGAUCUGCGAUUAAAAAAAGGAACUUGAUUUCUCAGAUUUUCAAGAUUAUAUUUAUAUAAUCCAGCCUGCAAAUAUUCUGCUGUCUAGUCCAAAAAGGAGAUUAAAACACCGGAUCAAAAUUGUGCCGUUUUUUUUACGCAGAGUCGACGCAAAUUCCAUCUAUUCCAACCAAUUGGCAUAGAAAAAAUGGGGAUUUUCAUGGAUCCGAGGAUGAUUAUUGCAGGAUAGAACGAACAUCGGUAUGUGGUACCUGGUGGCACGCGCCAUGCGCUCCGGCCUCGGCAACAGCUGCUCCUGCGCCCGAAGACCGGAGGUGGAUGAAUAAAGUGAGAGGCACACCUUGCUGCAGGCGCGUGCCGGCAGCUUUCAAGAUGUGAAUACCGCGAGAUCCUCCGUCUGUCUGGGCCGUUGAUCUCGACCCUUUUAUCUCCGGGAAUCGGAGACGGUGAAACGACCGCCGCCGCGCCGCCACAGUCAUAUAUGUAUGUAUAUACAUUAUAUUAUAUACAUUUGACGUACGCGCGAUGCGACGCGACAUCGAUCGCGAGCGACUAAUUGCCUGCGUCAAUCGAUCCAUCAGACGCGUGACGAAGGCAUCGUUUGAAAAAAAAAAAAAAAAAGGAAUUAGUACAAGCGCGUAAUUAUGCAAAAAAAUUAUUUCUUAUUUUCUCUCUUGCGAAGCCAACUCAUAAACUUUUCGAUGUGAGAGGUAGAUCUGUAUUCUAAGAUUUCAUAUUUUGUAAGUUGUAAAUUACACAUUUAUGAAAAUUAAGAAAUUAGAGUAUAAAUGAACUGCAGAAAGAGUAUGUCUUGUUUGCAUGACAAAAGCAUUGUUUAAAAAAAAUUUAGUAAAGGUGCGUAAUUUUUUUACAUGAAAGGCGGAUCUAAUUUUAAGAGUCUAAAUUUCAUAUUCGAAUCUUAAGCUGUAAAUUGCAUAUUUAUGAAAAAUAAAUAAAUUAGAGCCUAAAUAAAAAA